rnacentral:lncRNA from 1 species
CCUAAUUAAUAUUAUAAUUAAUAGCACUUAAGCAUUAUAAUUAUCCUUUACGUUCCAAGAUUAGGGUUUCAUACAUCGAAUUAGGGUUUUGAAUUUCCCAAAACUGACAUUAGUGUUUCAGAACCGGUUUUAGGGUUUCUUGUUAAUCGCUAGGAUUUUCUAACCGAACGUUGACGUUCUUAAUAUAUACGUAGGGUUUGUUACAGAUAUCAUUUAUCUGGUCAACCCUUGACCCUUAACCACAUAAUGUACACAUAUUCACAGAACAUAUUCGCUUAUUCCCUUAAUCAUGAAUAAUUCACCUAAAUCCUUCACAGAAUUUUGAAAUCCUCAAAAUUCUAUCUUAAAAAUAUCAAACACAUACACUUAUUUUCUGUCUAGGUUCAAAUUUUGAACCUUAAAUCAAUUAAUAAAAAUUUUAAAAAUAUUCAAAAUUCUCGGGUUGUCACAUUCACCCAUUCUUCAAAAAAUUUCGUCCUCGAAAUUUACCUUACACCAUACACUAUACAUACACAACAUCUCAUGCUACCCAAUACACCACUCACAAGAGUAAAAAUUUUCAAAUUUUGCUGAGGAGUCAUAUAGACUAUUUGUCUGUCAUUUUCGCAAAGGUUUUAUAGAAAUUCAUCCACAAACCAUCAGAACUUACAGACAUAAAGGGUGAUUAGCCCGAUAUGUCCUGUACUGGCCAAGUACUGAUUUUAUCUGUUUCUCUUCACUGCCAUAGGCACAAAAAUUCUACCUCAGUCUUAUUGGAUUCCGCACCAAUACAAUUUGGUUUGGGAAAUUUCUUUCAAUGAACAUUUAGAGUUUUCAUAAACCUUAGUCUAGCUAAAUCGAAUAGCGUAGACUCAUAUCAAUAAUUCAAUUCAAUCGAAUUAUUUAAGUGUAGCCAAACCCCGUUGACAAAUUAAAUUUUAUUGAAUAUUUUUUUGAGAAUGACGUUAUGAUGCCGUACUGUAUUAACAGUCCGUGUGAGGAUGCCGUCAUUAUAUGACUUUGUCAUAACCCAUCAUACAAUAGUGGAAUAACGAUUUUAGAUCAAAUUCACACUAAGUAUUCCUGUAUUUACAACUCCAUCAACUUUUUAUCAUCUCUGCACCAGGUUACAUGGUACAUGAGUGAUAAAUAAAAUAUAUUUUGAUAUAUCAAAUCAUUUGCGUCUAGCUGAAAUAAGUAGUAUAGACUAUACUUUAAACUGUUUCAAAAAUGAUUACGAGUCUACAUAUUUUUUUUAAAAGGAACAUAGUGCGUAUUUAGCUUGAUGUCAAAAUUUUGAAGUCUAGCAUAGCUAGGAGUUUUGGAAAACUUAUGUCUUCACUAAUAAUCGUUUGUUAAACAGUCUAUCUAUUCUUAUUAUCCUUAAUACUCCAUUUACACAAAACUAUACCCAGUUCGUAAAACCACACUUAUGAGUCCAUAAAUUGCCACAAUCAUAUGAGUUUUAGAACUUUUCUAGAGAGACCUUUGGCGUCCAUUCGCUGAGGGGUUCAUAAACAUUUCAUAUAACUAUGAAUCAAGUAUGUCACAUAAGUAUGAGUUUUAAGAACUCGUACUUAACCUUAUAUCCUCUACCUAUGACCUAUCUAUCUGUUAUACACAUGAAAAAUGAAUCACCCUCUUAACAUGCAUAUAUCAAAUUGCGCGACACAACAUUUCAAUGAUUAUAAUUGUCAGAACUUAGUAGCUGUUACACUAAGUACAAUUCCCCGCCCACACAAGGAAUCAUACAACUCAGCUGCCGGCAUGAAUCCUCAAUUGAAUCCCCACCUAACACUAACCCCCUUCUCAAUACGAAUUUCAUUCAACUCGUAUUCAUAAUCCUUUCCUGAAUCUGUAUCAAUUUACACAAUAAUAUUGCUGUAAACUUUCCAAUCAUCAGAUUGAUUCUUAUCCCAUACUAUAACCUUAUCCGAUCACGGGGUGAUCUCAUCGUAUAUAUUACGAUUCAUUUCUAUAUCUUGAUCAUUUUAUUUUACGAUCUCCUAUCACUGUACUUUUAGUCUUUUAGACUCUAUCUAUUCACCACUACUGUUCAACUUUAUUAUCAGAGUUAGGGAACUCUGUAUCUUUACACUCGCCGAGAUUCAUCUUUGAAUCUUAUCGACCAACUAACUCUGUGUAAGUUAGUACUUCUCCUAAUCAGUGCGGUUAUUAGUCUCAGGUAUUUCUACCUAAGGUUCAUAACCAACAGCUUUGAUACUAACUAUGACGACCCCGAAUUCGAGGUCCCGAAUCACCGCGGAUCCGGUUCGAUCAUUCUAACACUAUUACUAUUUGCGGAAGAUAUAAACAUAAAUUGUUUAUACAUUAACUUUACACACUAUUCCCCAAGGUCGAGUAACCAUAACUUAAUACACAAAUCAUAACUUAUUUAACACAUAACAUUAUUAUUACACUAUACUAUUACAAAACUAAUCACGCACAUUAACUUUAAGCUGGAACUGUCUUUAAUCUUUCCUUGUAUCUGACGCAUUCGCCUUAAUCUACAAUGUUUUAUCAUGAUAUAGCAAGGGUGAGCAUAAAAGUUGUCCAACAAGUUUAAAUUCAAUAAUAUAACGAUAUAUCAUGAUUGAAAGAGUCUGAAUAAUAAGCUGGCGAUAAUUCAACAAUAUAAUUGUGAACUAGCACGAACAAAUUUAUGACUGAACAAGUAUUAUACAUGAACAAAUAUAUCUGAAACCAACUGGUAAUGAAGGUGAUCAGCCUUUCAUACCUGACUUAUACAUGCAAUAUGUACANNNNNNNNNNNNNNNNNNNNNNNNNNNNNNNNNNNNNNNNNNNNNNNNNNNNNNNNNNNNNNNNNNNNNNNNNNNNNNNNNNNNNNNNNNNNNNNNNNNNAUUUUUCAUGUAUUAAAAUCAUUUUUAAAUAAUUUAUUUAAUAUUAUAAUUAAAUAAAUUAAAUACCAUUUAUAUUCCAAAAAUAUUAAAUAUUUAUGAAAUAUACUCAAAAUAAUUAAAAACUAUUUUUCAGUCUUUAAAAUAAUUUUUUGUAAUUUAUUUAUUAUUUUUAAUGAUUAAAAACCAUUUAAUUUGAUUUAUUAAAUUAAUUAAUCUAUUUUGCAAAAAUAAUUGUCUCUAAAGGACCCUAUAGCGACAGACCCGUCGCUAUAGGUGUUCUUGAGCCUGCCCAGAUAAGCAAGUCAGUCACCGAGUUGGUAUGUUUGACCACAAAUGAAUCUGCGUUCCGGUCGAUUUUUGGGCUUGAUAAUGGUCAGAUCCUGUAGUAUUGAUGCAACACUACAUGAUCUAACCAUCAUUAGGGUUAUAAUGCAUCACACAAGCACGAUCUAGACUUCUAAAAAGUCUGACAAAGCUGUUCUUCAUUUCUGGGUUCUCCAGAAAUGAAGAACAGUUGCUACUACCUCUUUUGGAUCCUUAUAAAAUGCAUAUUUAAGAUUUCUUUGUGUGAUAUGAAGGUUCAUAUAUGUAGUGGAGAUGUCAGUGAACAACUUGAUAUCCUUAGAUUAGUCUAACAACAACAUUACACGAAGAUGUAGGCCGGUCAAACUACUUGUCAGGAACUCGGCUGAUGAAGAUCUGGGUUACCCAGAAUCUUCAUCCGGCGUGAUGGUCAACGCCUGUUUGACCCACAAUUUCUAUGAUUCUGUUACGGUGUUUGGUGAUCUAAAGGCAUGAGUGUGAAGUCCUUAUACGUGUCUACAACAUAUAAACAACAACAUAACAAAAACAAUAACAUACAGUAAGAUCAAAGACUCAGAAAACGUUGUCAGACGAGAUCUGGGCUUCUGGGUUGCCCAGAAACUCAGUCUCUAUGACCGGUCAACGCAGUUUGACUGCUCAUAUCUCUCAAUCCUAUCAUGAUCUGGCCAUGUUUAUAGUUUCAGAUCAAAGUUCUCAUGACAUAGAACACAUUUAUAACAUAAAACAACACAAAGCAAAAAUAGAGAAGGAUUUACAGGCCUUGACAUUAGCUUGGCAGGCCAUAUUUCUAACUUUUUCCAGAUUUUAAAAAUCAUCAAAUCCGAGCAUUUUGAUGUUAUGGAUCUGGGAUUUAACAACCCAGAUCACUAAAAGACACCUUAUUACACAUCUUUAACCAAUCAAUUACAACUUUUAACAUCAAAUCAAAAUAUUUUAAAAAUUAGGGUUCUUAUACCUUUUGAAGCUAUGAUUCUGAUUCUGAUCCUUGAUGAUCUGAUAUUUGAUAGUUAUGGACUGAUCAUGUCUUAUCUUAUAUCACUUUCUCACUCUACAUUUUUCGGAUUUUAGAGAGAGAAGGUCUUGGAGAGAAAUAAAAAUGUAAGUGGCCAUUUCUCUCUCUUUAAUCUCUAUAAAUGACUUGAUGCAAUGGAAUGGCUGGAAAUUUCUGCUGAGAUAGCUCGUAAUUGUCAAAUGCUAUGCUUAGGGUUGGCCACCAACUCACAAUAGGUCAAUUCUUGCAAGUUAAGUCACAAUAAUGCACUAAGGACAUUUUAGUCUUUUCGUAUACAAAAUUAAUGGCAUUCUUAUCAAUUAGCCAAACCCUUAGGGUUUAGGGUUUGGGUUAGGGUUUAUAAUUUGGACCAUUUUAGGAUUUAGGGUUUAACCCUUAACUUGCAAUUUAUUUUUCUAAAAUUUCCAAUUUAGGUUUUUAAAAUAGAAAAUUAACAUUUUCAAAAUUAUAAUUAUAAUUUUCUAAUUAUAUUAAAAUUUCUUAAUCAUUACUUAAAUCUUGCUAAUUAGGAUUAGCAUUUCCUAAUUCCAAUCGCUAAUUAAAUAAUUAGGGUCAAAAUGGUCAUUAGGGUUUAUAAACCACUAAUUAGGGUUUUCAAUAGAAAAAAAAAUAAUUUUCUAAUUUAGAAAUUAAAUUUCGUAAUUAGAUUAGGGUUUUCUAAUUGCUUAAUUUUGAAAAUUAGGAUUAAUAUUUCCUAAUUAAUAUUAAAAUUAUUAAAUUAACACUUAGGUUUUUUUCCCGAAUUAUAAAUUAGGGUUUCUUAUCCCGAAAUUAGGGUUUUCUAAAUUUAAAAUUAGGGUUUACUAAAUAAUUAAGCUUUACCCUAAUUAAUAUUAUAAUUAAUAGCACUUAAGCAUUAUAAUUAUCCUUUACGUUCCAAGAUUAGGGUUUCAUACAUCGAAUUAGGGUUUCGAAUUUCCCCAAACCGACAUUAGUGUUUCAGAACCGGUUUUAGGGUUUCUUGUUAAUCUCUAGGAUUUUCUAACCGAACGUUGACGUUCUUAAUAUAUACGUAGGGUUUGUUACAGAUAUCAUUUAUCUGGUCAACCCUUGACCCUUAACCACAUACUGUACACAUAUUCAUAGAACAUAUUCGCUUAUUCCCUUAAUCAUGAAUAAUUCACCUAAAUCCUUAACAGAAUUUUGAAAUCCUCAAAAUUCUAUCUUAAAAAUAUCAAACACAUACACUUAUUUUCUGUCUAGGUUCAAAUUAUGAACCUUAAAUUAAUUAAUAAAAAUUUUAAAAAUAUUCAAAAUUCUCGGGUUGUCACAUUCACCCCUUCUUCUAAAAAUUUCGUCCCCGAAAUUUACCUUACACCUUACACCAUACACCAUACAUACACAACAUCUCAUGCUACCCAAUAAACCACUCACAAGAGUAAAAAUUUUCAAAUUUUGCUGAGGAGUCAUAUAGACUAUUUGUCUGUCAUUUUCGCAAAGGUUUUAUGGAAAUUCAUCCACAAACUAUCAGAACUUACAGACAUAAAGGGUGAUUAGCCCGAUAUGUCCUGUACUGGCCAAGUACUGAUUUUAUCUGUUUCUCUUCACUGCCAUAGGCACAAAAAUUCUACCUCAGUCUUAUUGGAUUCCGCACCAAUACAAUUUGGUUCGGGAAAUUUCUUUCAAUGAACAUUUAGAGUUUUCAUAAACCUUAGUCUAGCUGAAUCGAAUAGCGUAGACUCAUAUCAAUAAUUCAAUUCAAUCGAAUUAUUUAAGUGUAGCCAAACCCCGUUGACAAAUUAAAUUUUAGUGAUUUUUUUUUUGAGAAUGACGUCAUGAUGCCGUACUGUAUUAACAGUCCGUGUGAGGAUGCCGUCAUUAUAUGACUUUGUCAUAACACAUCAUACAAUAGUGGAAUAACGAUUUUAGAUCAAAUUCACACUAAGUAUUCCUAUAUUUACAACUCCAUCAACUUUUUAUCAUCUCUGCAUCAGGUUACAUGGUACAUGAGUGAUAAAUAAAAUAUAUUUUGAUAUAUCAAAUCAUUUGCGUCUAGCUGAAAUAAGUAGUAUAGACUAUACUUUAAACUGUUUCAAAAAUGAUUACGAGUCUGCAUAUUUUUUUUAAAAGGCACAUAGUGCGUAUUUAGCUUGAUGUCAAAAUUUUGAAGUCUAGCAUAGUUAGGAGUUUUGGAAAACUUAUGUCUUCACUAAUAAUCGUUUUCUUAAACAAUCUAUCUAUUCUUAUUAUCUUUAAUACUCCAUUUACACACAACUAUACCCAGUUCGUAAAACCACACUUAUGAGUCCAUAAAUUGUCACAAUCAUAUGAGUUUAAGAACUUUUCUAGACAGACCGUUGGCGUCCAUUCGCUGAGGGGUUCAGAAACAUUUCAUAUAACUAUGAAUCAAGUAUGUCACAUAAGUAUGAGUUUUAAGAACUUGUACUUAACCUUAUAUCCUCUACCUAUGACCUAACUAUCUGUUAUACACAUGAAAAAUGAAUCACCCUCUUAACAUGCAUAUAUCAAAUAGCGCGACACAACAUUUCAAUGAUUAUAAUUGUCAGAACUUAGUAGUUGUUACACCAAGUAAAAUUCCCCGCCCACACAAGGAAUCAUACAACUCAGCUGCCGACAUGAAUCCUCAAUUGAAUCCCUACCUAACACUAACCCCCUUCUCAAUACGAAUUUCAUUCAACUCGUAUUCAUAUUCCUUUCCUGAAUCUGUACCAAUUUACACAACAAUAUUGCUGUAAACUUUCCAAUCAUCAGAUUGAUUCUUAUCCCAUACUAUAACCUUAUCCGAUCACGGGGUGAUCUCAUCGUAUAUAUUACGAUUCAUUUCUAUAUCUUGAUCAUUUUGUUUUACGAUCUCCUAUCACUGUACUUUUAGUCUUUUAGACUCUAUCUAUUCACCACUACUGUUCAACUUUAUUAUCAGAGUUAGGGAACUCUGUAUCUUUACACUCGCUGAGAUUCAUCUUUGAAUCUUAUCGACUAACUAACUCUGUGUAAGUUAGUACUUAUCCUAAUCAGUGCGGUUAUUAGUCUCAGGUAUUUCUACCUAAGGUUCAUAACCAACAACUUUGAUACUAACUGUGACGACCCCGAAUCCGAGGUCCCGAAUCACCGCGGAUCCGGUUCGAUCAUUCUAACACUAUUACUAUUUGCGGAAGAUAUAAACAUAAAUUGUUUAUACAUUAACUUUACACACUAUUCCCCAAGGUCGAGUAACCUUAACUUAAUACACAAAUCAUAACUUAUUUAACACAUAACAUUAUUAUUACACUAUACUAUUACAAAACUAAUCACGCACAUUAACUUUAAGCUGGAACUGUCUUUAACCUUUCCUUGUAUCUGACGCAUUCGCCUUAAUAUGCAAUGUUUUAUCAUGAUAUAGCAAGGGUUAGCAUAAAAGUUGCCCAGCAAGUUUAAAUUCAAUAAUAUAACGAUAUAUCAUGAUUGAAAGAGUCUGAAUAAUAAGCUGGCUAUAAUUCAACAAUAUAAUUGUGAACUAGCACGAACAAAUUUAUGACUGAACAAGUAUUAUACAUGAACAAAUAUAUCUGAAACCAACUGGUAAUGAAGGUGAUCAGCCUUUCAUACCUGACUUAUACAUGCAAUAUGUACAUAGUAUAAUUCAUGGCAACCAGCAAUGAUUAACCAUAAGCUUAUUCGAAUGAAACAACUCUUAGUAGAGUUCAGUAAAAACAAACUUGCCUGAACCGUUGAUUACCGCUACGCAAUUUAUAACGCUUUAUCCGAAGACCUAAU